AAUGCCCGUUUUCACCAACAACCUCUUACCGUUUCCCUAUCUAAAUGCUACUUUUAGUAAGGACUCCUCCCAAUUUGACAUCUACCUAAAUUCAUUUUCACCACACUUGUACAUGGAUCCCUUAAGUAAGUGACAGAUUACUAGUUCUACAAACGAUAAUGCAAAGUCGAUAUUUUAUCGAUAAAAUGAUUUUUCUGUACUUCUUAAGAAAUAAACGUCUAUCGAGUAUAUAUUACUAAAGCCUGUGAGUUUUUUUCUUGUGAUGUUAUUUUAAUUUAACUUAAACUACAUUACGCUAUGUUUUAUGCAAUAAAACAGUAAAGAGGUUUUCUAUAGGUGAAUUUUUACCUAUGUCAUUCGCGCGUUUGUCAAAUUGACUGAUGUGUAUGUGUACAUAGAGUGAGGUUAAUUUUGGGUUUAUUAUUGUUGAAUAGAUAAGUUUAUUUUGGCAGAGAAGAGAAAACGAGGAUAAACCUUUCUUACAGAAGAAAAAGACAAGCUAGUGAAAUUGCUGACGUCUCAUAGAGACACAAUAUUAAACAAAAAACGGAUGGGACCAUCGAACGAAGCCAAAAACAAAGCUUGGAUCCAGUCACAAAUCGUUUUAAUGCGACAGGAACCCUUUACAGUUUCAGGUGGUGCGAGAAAUUGGAAAGACGUGUAAAAACAUGCUGCGCCCAGCCCACCUCAAAUUAAAUUGGUGCAGGAGGAUGAUGAUAAUGUUUUUAACAUCAUAUGAGGACUAAUAUUAAAAUAUUUGUUUACUAUCUUUGUUUUAAUUUACAUAAUUUAUUAUGUUCAAUGUUAGCCUACUUCUUACCUCCAGAGGGUAUCCCCUAUCACCUAGGAGAUAGGCUCCUCCAUAUUCACCAUUUUCGAAUCAUUGGUAUCUACUGCAGUUUUGGUAUUUAAGGCCUAUUCAAACCUGAGCGAUAUUCGCUGCCGCUGUGGGUAGAGGUAGAUACCGCGCCGGUUUCGCUCAGGUAUUUAGUAUCAAGUAUAGUUACCGGCACGGAUAUUGAGCUCUCGGCGGAAGAGUGGGGAUCGCUUUGCGCACUGUACGCAAGGCAAUAAACCAAUAAAUGGCUUCUGCGCAGGUGAAGGUCAGGGCUGAAUAUCCGUGCCGAUAACUAUACCGCGGCUAGAGCGACCUGAGCGAUAUCCACUGCCGCUGUGGGUAGAAGUACAUACCGCGGCAGCGGCAUGCAUCCCGAACAUCAACAGUAAUAUUAACGCAUACCCACAGGGUUUUCUCUGCCGUAGACGGUAGCGAAUACCGCUUAGGUCUGAAUAGGCCUAUAGUUGUCCCGGCCACCGCGAAACUACAUCAGUGAUUACCAGAUUUGCAUCUGUUAUGGUCUGUAUAUUUAUGGACAUGCAGGACUUCCUAUUUUUGAAUAACUCAGCGACAUCACGACCUAGCAAGUGCAUUCAUAGCAAGUGAUAACCUAUAAUCUUAUAAAAAAGUCAUGAUCAUCGUACUUAUUUCUCAGACAUCUGCUCUUUCACGUAAGAUAGGUACGUGGUCUUCUAAUGAUUAUUAUUUUACAUAUCCACAACCUCCACAGCUUCUAAACUUUCUAAAAGUUUACGUUUCAUUUUCUUUUUUGCUUUUUAAACAUGGUAUUUUUGGUGUUACAUAACAUAUAAAGGUACAUUUCACUAUCCAUCGCCAGAAACGGUUCAAAAUAUGUUUGUAUUCUGUAAUGAUAAUGAUAGGGGUUGUUUAAGCAGGCAUCAAUCGGGCUCCCAAGUUUAAGUGAAAUUUUUAGGUUAAAAUUGACACCUAGGCUUUGGUGAAAAUGAAAUUCUUAUUAAGUGUUCCGUAAAUGCUCCCUAAAUUUAGGUAUUCGUUGGUGAAAACGGGCAUAAGUCA